rfam:Picea glauca, whole genome shotgun sequence.
ACGGAACCACAUAUCCAAUAAAAUUGGAAAGGAUACAAAGAAGAUUAGCAUGGCCCCUGUGCAAGGAUGACAAGCACGAAUCGAGAAACGAUCCAAGUCAAU